rnacentral:rRNA from 1 species
CAAAUUUAAAAUCUACCUGGUUUYCAGGUCGAGUUGUAAUUUGAAGAUACGUUUUUGACGUUCCGGGUUGAACUAAAUCCUUUGGGAUAAGGUAUCAUGGAGGGUGAGAAUCCCGUAUAUACCAACCRUAGGGAUGUUAUUUAAUACGUUUCUAAGAGUCGAGUUGUUUGGGAAUGCAGCUCUAAAUGGGUGGUAAAUUUCACCUAAUGCUAAAUAUAAGCGAGAGACCGAUAGYGAACAAGUACAGUGAUGGAAAGAUGAAAAGAACUUUGAAAAGAGAGUUAAAUAGUAYGUGAAAUUGUUGAAAGGGAAACGAUUGAAGUCAGUCAUGCCRGUGGGAAUCAACUURGAGGAAACUCUGAGUGCACUUYUUCGCUUGGCAGGUCAACGUCGAUUUUGGAUGUCAUAAAAUGAUUGGGGGAAGGUAGCUCCUUCGGGAGUGUUAUAGCCCUUGGUAGAUGUGAUGUCUGGGAUCGAGGAUUGCAAUGGAUACCCUUUGGGGCUAGCCGCCUGAUCUCUAAUYGGUAUUGGGUUACGGAUAGCAUGCUGACCGUGAUCUAAUUAUUGGUUAAAAGGUUAG